AGUGAACGCUGGCGGUAGGCCUAACACAUGCAAGUCGAACGGCAGCACAGUAAGAGCUUGCUCUUACGGGUGGCGAGUGGCGGACGGGUGAGGAAUACAUCGGAAUCUACUUUUUCGUGGGGGAUAACGUAGGGAAACUUACGCUAAUACCGCAUACGACCUACGGGUGAAAGCAGGGGAUCUUCUGACCUUGCGCGAUUGAAUGAGCCGAUGUCGGAUUAGCUAGUUGGCGGGGUAAAGGCCCACCAAGGCGAGGAUCCGUAGCUGGUCUGAGAGGAUGAUCGGCCACACUGGAACUGAGACACGGUCCAGACUCCUACGGGAGGCAGCAGUGGGGAAUAUUGGACAAUGGGCACAAGCCUGAUCCAGCCAUACCGCGUGGGUGAAGAAGGCCUUCGGGUUGUAAAGCCCUUCUGUUGGGAAAGAAAAGCAGCAGGUUAAUACCCCGCUGUUCUGACGGUACCCAAAGAAUAAGCACCGGCUAACUUCGUG
rnacentral:rRNA from 1 species